rnacentral:rRNA from 1 species
GACGAACGCUGGCCGUGCUUAACACAUGCAAGUCGAACGGAAAGGCCCUGCUUUUGUGGGGUGCUCGAGUGGCGAACGGGUGAGUAACACGUGAGUAACCUGCCCUUGACUUUGGGAUAACUUCAGGAAACUGGGGCUAAUACCGGAUAGGAGCUCCUGCUGCAUGGUGGGGGUUGGAAAGUUUCGGCGGUUGGGGAUGGACUCGCGGCUUAUCAGCUUGUUGGUGGGGUAGUGGCUUACCAAGGCUUUGACGGGUAGCCGGCCUGAGAGGGUGACCGGCCACAUUGGGACUGAGAUACGGCCCAGACUCCUACGGGAGGCAGCAGUGGGGAAUAUUGCACAAUGGGCGGAAGCCUGAUGCAGCAACGCCGCGUGCGGGAUGACGGCCUUCGGGUUGUAAACCGCUUUCGCCUGUGACGAAGCGUGAGUGACGGUAAUGGGUAAAGAAGCACCGGCUAACUACGUG